AUCCACUGAUUUCUAAUACCUCCCUUUUGCUCCGUUUAGGCAAUCGUUCAGUUUACCCUCCCUGUUUUACCCUCCCAGGCUUCACCUUUUAUUUUCUUUUUCUUUACAACCGAUUUGCUCCUUCUCAACCUUUUCUUUUCUUUUUGUAUCAUUAUAGCUCCAAAUUUUUGUUGUUUGAUCGAAUCCAAAAUAUUAGUCUCAGCUUCGCACAAAAACUUUCCUUGAAUUUUUUUUAUUUUGUGGAAACCAAAUGAAAAGAAUCAAUGGAGGGGCUGAUAAAAUACCCUAAAAUUGAACCAGAAGACAACCAGUUUCAAUUCUUAUCUUCCCAGGUAAUUCUUAUUAUUUUUUCUUUCUCGUGUUAAAUAUCUGUUUGGUUGCAUUGAAAACCAAGGAAAAGGAACUGGAAAGUUUGUAAAUGUUGUUUCUCUGCUUUUUCUAAUUGGGUUUAGCCCAGAUGGUUGAAUGAAUAACCUUAACUAAGAUGGAAUACAAUUUUCUAUUGUUUAUUCUUUUUUUCUUUGAAAAGGGAGCAUCUGUUAGUUUUAGUUUUCUUUUUGUUUUGGAUUAAUUGUUAUUUAGCUUCUCCAAGUAGAGGGUUGUUCUUAGUAUUUCUUUGUAUGACAAAAUUUGAAGGUUCUUAUUGGAUGCCUGAGAUUGAUCGCACUGUUUUAGCAUUGUUGCAUUGUUAAGGAUAGUCAGUAGCUGUUAGUCAAGAGUAGCUGUUAGUCGAAGCUGUUAUACAAUUGGUUCAAUUGUAACUAUUUGCUAUCCAUUAUAGUCUACUAAGGAGUUAAUAGUAGCUGUUAGUCGAAGCUGUUAUACAUAUUCUUGUAUGAAUAGCUAUAGAGACUUUAUUGUAAAGAGAUCAUCUUUGCAGAUUGAUGGUAUUUCAAUAUCAGAUGUCUUUCUUCUUGUAUGUUUAGUGUGUAUCUUGAUAUGCAUUGGUGUGAUUUCCCAGUAUUAGAGCAAAGUCAUUGUUUAAAUUGUAGGUUAUUUAAUUUGAUAUGGAUUUUAGUAUGGCAGCAAGUUUUAUGUUGAAAUGUACCUAUAGGCUAUAGCAUAUAUUGCUUCUUCUUUUUUUUCUUUUUGCUCGCAUAAUAUGCUUAUCUUUGUUCUUUUAGUUUGUGGAAUAACUUGUUAAUCUUGGUGAAUGAUAGCUAUUUUUAUUUUGAUUUUUUUUGUUAUUGUUGUUUAUUGGUUUAAGGAAAAACAAUAGUGUUUUUUUUAAUGAUGGUGUUAGGAUCUGGAAAAAGUGUUAUGUAAGAUGGAAAGCAGCUUAAAAGGUUUGAAUAAUUAUAAAAUUUAUAAAAUUUAUAAAAUUUACAAUUAUAUUUUAUUAUCAAGUUUUUGUUUUAAAGUUACAUAUAAUUAUAAAACUAGAGUAUGAGAAGUAUAAGCUUAUCCAUUUGAUAGCCUUUGUGAAGGAAGGAGAAGAGUCUGAAAUGUGGGAGGACUAUCCUUAUCUCUUAAAUGAGUUGUGAAGUUGUCGAGAGAGUUAUUUAUAAAAGGUUUGCCAAUGAGAUGGCAAGCAGACUGCUAGCUAGAAAUUCAUGCAUCUUUGAAUCACCAAUUCAAUUAAUAAGCUUAACUAAAGGAAAUAAGGACUUUACAUCCACCAAUUCAAGCAACCUAUAUGUACCCUUUUACAGUCUGCAUUGUUCCUUGUUUCAAUUCAUUACAUCAUUCCUUCAACUCUGCUAUAUAUUAUUACCGUCUCCAAAUAACCAAACCUUUUACUGCUAACUUGUAAAAAGAUUAUGAAAAUACAACAGAGAUCAUUGAGACAUUGUUGAAGUUGGCUUGCAUGUAGACCAAGAAGCAGACCAAGCUGUCUGAGCCAUGCAAGUUGCAGCUGAAGCUUAUGCUGCUGUUUUGCUACUUUCAAAUAGAUAUUUUAUUAUUUGGUUAGAUAUGAACUAAGUUGUUGAUAUGCUUGAUGUAAUUAGGUGCUGAUAGAUUGAUAAAUCAGCUUUACCAAGUGUACAAGCAAUGUUUAUCAAAAAGUUACUAAGCCACUUAGUGGAGUUAGGUAUGUGUUUAGGUAACAUUUUCUUAUUUUUGACCAGCUGAUUGCUUGGUAUAUGUAAUGGCAUUGUGCCUUCAUUCAAAUGUAAUGAAACCUUUCAGAAAAUUCUUCUUCA